rnacentral:rRNA from 1 species
CCCUUAGAUGUUCUGGGCUGCACGCGCGCUACACUGAUGCGCUCAACGAGUUUUGACCUUGCCCGGAAGGGUUGGGUAAUCUUCUUAAAACGCAUCGUGAUGGGGAUAGAUUAUUGCAAUUAUUAAUCUUCAACGAGGAAUUCCUAGUAAGCGCGAGUCAUCAGCUCGUGCUGAUUACGUCCAUGCCCUUUGUACACACCGCCCGUCGCUCCUACCGAUUGAGUGAUCCGGUGAGUAAUUCGGACUGCAGCAGUGUUCAGUUCCUGAACGUUGCAGCGGAAAGUUUAGCAAACCUUAUCACUUAGAGGAAGGAGAAGUCGUAACA